GAUGAAGAACGUAGCGAAAUGUGAUACGUAAUGUGAAUUGCAGAAUUCAGUGAAUCAUCGAAUCUUUGAACGCAUAUUGCGCUCUCUGGUAUUCCGGAGAGCAUGCUUGUUUGAGUAUCAGUAAACACCUCAACUCCCCUUUCUUUUUUGAAAUGGGAGCUGGACUUGAGUGAUCCCAACGCUUUUCUCACCGAAAAGUGGCGGGUUACUUGAAAUGCAGGUGCAGCUGGACUUUUCUCUGAGCUAAAAGCAUAUCUAUUUAGUCUGCCUAAAAACAGAUUAUUACCUUUGCUGCAGCUAACAUAAAGGAGAUUAGUUCUUGUGCUGACUGAUGCAGGAUUCACAGAGACAGCUUCGGCUGGCCUUUGUAAACUCGAUCUCAAAUCAAGUAAGACUACCCGCUGAACUUAAGCAUAUCAAUAAGCGGAGGA
rnacentral:misc_RNA from 1 species